AACUACAUUAUCGAUGUAUAGAUUCACCCGCAAGAUGAUGUGGUUGUUUCACCUAGGACGAGGACAUGACAUCCUAUUACCAGCCAUCGCACGAAAUUAAUAUGAUGCCACGUCCUCAUCCUAGAUGGAACAACCACGUCAUAUCACGAGUGAAUCCAUUCAUCGAUAGUGUUGUU
rfam:Oryza sativa Japonica Group DNA, chromosome 11, cultivar: Nipponbare, complete sequence.